UACGUAGGGUGCGAGCGUUAAUCGGAUUACUGGGCGUAAAGCGUGCGCAGGCGGUGAUGUAAGACAGAUGUGAAAUCCCCGGGCUCAACCUGGGAACUGCAUUGUGACUGCAUCGCUGGAGUGCGGCAGAGGGGAUGGAAUCCGCGUGUAGCAGUGAAAUGCGUAGAUAUGCGGAGGAACACCGGAUGGCGAAGGCAAUCCCCGUGGGCCUGCACUGACGCUCAUGCACGAAGCGUGGGGAGCAAACAGG
rnacentral:rRNA from 1 species